UGUCAUAGCGUUAUCUUACUUUUAGUAAAAAAUUUUAAAAGUAUCUCUAUGGCGGAUGUUAACAGGGAAAACAUUGAAUUGCAUAAGCAGUCUAAAGAAGUUAAAGCACUAUUAGAUAAAAUGCUAGAGUCCUCAUCUUGUACAAAUGACUGU